UACAGAGGGGGCAAGCGUUGUUCGGAAUUACUGGGCGUAAAGGGCUCGUAGGUGGCCAACUAAGUCAGACGUGAAAUCCCUCGGCUUAACCGGGGAACUGCGUCUGAUACUGGAUGGCUUGAGUUCGGGAGAGGGAUGCGGAAUUCCAGGUGUAGCGAUGAAAUGCGUAGAUAUCUGGAGGAACACCGGUGGCGAAGGCGGCAUCCUGGAUCGGCACUGACACUGAGGAGCGAAAGCCAGGGGAGCAAACGGG
rnacentral:rRNA from 1 species